GACGAACGCUGGCGGCGUGCUUAACACAUGCAAGUCGAACGGAAAGGCCCUGCUUUUGUGGGGUGCUCGAGUGGCGAACGGGUGAGUAACACGUGAGUAACCUGCCCUUGACUUUGGGAUAACUUCAGGAAACUGGGGCUAAUACCGGAUAGGAGCUCCUGCUGCAUGGUGGGGGUUGGAAAGUUUCGGCGGUUGGGGAUGGACUCGCGGCUUAUCAGCUUGUUGGUGGGGUAGUGGCUUACCAAGGCUUUGACGGGUAGCCGGCCUGAGAGGGUGACCGGCCACAUUGGGACUGAGAUACGGCCCAGACUCCUACGGGAGGCAGCAGUGGGGAAUAUUGCACAAUGGGCGGAAGCCUGAUGCAGCAACUCCGCGUGCGGGAUGACGGCCUUCGGGUUGUAAACCGCUUUCGCCUGUGACGAAGCGUGAGUGACGGUAAUGGGUAUAGAAGCACCGGCUAACUACGUG
rnacentral:rRNA from 1 species